rnacentral:hammerhead_ribozyme from 1 species
AACUGGUCGGGAGCUGGGUCGCUCCCCUGAUGAGCCCAUGGCAGGGCGAAACCAGUG